CGGUGCUCCACCGGAGUAGAAAGGGAAUCAGGUGAAAGACCUGAGCAGUGCCCGCUACUGUAAUCUCCAUUAUGAAAAGUCAGAACGCAAAGCCACUGAUCCAUCGGGAAGGCAGACUUUUCGGAGAAAGCCAGGAAACCUGCCAUGUCAG
rnacentral:ncRNA from 1 species